AAACCACAGAGGUUCUUUGCUGUUUCUUCUCUAAUUCUUUCAUUUGAAACACGAAGAACCCGGGGCACACAGUCUAGACAGGACCACCAGCAACACCAAGACGUCACAUUUGGGUCCCCCAGACCUCCUGGAGCAUGGUGGCACGUUGGGUAGCCUGGGAGGAGACUCCUCAACCUGGAUGUAGGAAUUUCACCGCAGUGGUGGGGGUCAGAGCAGCCGAGCACCUGGACACCUCUGUCCCAGCUUCCAGGACUGGAUGCCACGCCAGUGUGACAACAUCCUCCAGCCAAAGAAGUGGGAUAAAGAACGUCCGAAUUGGUCUCGAAAUGGUCUGUGGUACACAGAAGAAAUCCAUCUCUCAGAGGAGCUGGUGGGCUCCCAUCAUCCACCUACUCCCUCAGGCCGGUUAGACAGAUCAAGUCCUCAGCAAGCCAGAAGCCCAGGAGAGCUGCCAGCCACAGGCAACAGGAAAGAGCAGUUUGGAGCACAGAGCAUUGGUUUGCAGCAGAGCUCGGAGCCCACAAGGAAUCCUGGGAACCCGAGCUGGCAGAAAUACCCUGAGGGCAAAAGCGUGGGGUGCGAAUAAACCAAGAAUCAUCCCUACAGGCCUGUGCUUCAGUUUUCAAAUCAGCGCCCACCUCCACUCCCAGCGCCCUCCCCAUCUUUCUGACGACAAAGGCAUUUUCUGUUCAUUUAAAUAGCCGCACAACUAUCUGCCGGCUGCUGUGUGGUUUGCGACACCGUCUCCUUGGUUACGCAUUUGGGUUAUUU
rnacentral:lncRNA from 1 species